AUGAACCGACGAAACUCGCGGUAUUCAGGUGUGCGCGGCCGUCUGGCGGUGCUUGCUCGCGGCCGGUGUUGUCGUGGCGGCGUCGUCUAGUGCGGCUGUGUGCUCUGCAUUUGCUGCGGGUAUGCGUUGAGAGGCCUGCUCGCCUCCUCCUAACCGUCGCGUGUUGCCCUUGCUUGCAAGGUUGUCUUGCGCGGCGGGGCUGUCGAUGGCGGGUAGGUUGUUGCCUUCAGCGGCUGACGAUUGCGCGGUGCGCGUCGCGGCGUGCGUUGUGCGUGAGCAGUGGCGUGCCACUCGUUUGCGAUUUCAGCGUACGUUGUGUGCGCGCGUCGCUACAGCUCGCUGUCUCGGCGUUAAAGUUGGUCACUCAUCCGACCCGUCUUGAAACACGGACCAAGAAGUCUAGCAUGUGCGCGAGUCAUUGGGCGAAAAAACCUAACGGCGAAAUGAAAGUAAAGGCCGCCUUGGUGCGGCUGAUAUGGGAGUCGUGUUCGUGCGCGUCGCGAUGGACCAUAGCCCCAUCCCGUGAGCUUGCUCUGGGGUGGAGGAAGAGCGUACAUGCUGGGACCCGAAAGAUGGUGAACUUAUGCCUGAGCAGGAUGAAGUCAGAGGAAACUCCUGAUGGAAGUCCGAAGCGGUUCUGACGUGCAAAUCGAUCGUCUGACUUGGGUAUAGGGGCGAAAGACUA
rnacentral:rRNA from 1 species